GGCCAGACUCCUACGGGAGGCAGCAGUGAGGAAUAUUGGUCAAUGGCCGGAAGGCUGAACCAGCCAAGCCGCGUGAGGGAGGAAGGCGCAGAGCGUCGCAGACCUCUUUUGCCGGGGGACAAAAGGCCGGACUCGUCCGGUCCUGAGGGUACCCGGAGAAAAAGCAUCGGCUAACUCCGUGCCAGCAGCCGCGGUAAUACGGAGGAUGCGAGCGUUAUCCGGAUUUAUUGGGUUUAAAGGGUGCGCAGGCGGCGUGUCAAGUCAGCGGUAAAAUGUCGGGGCUCAACCCCGGCCGGCCGUUGAAACUGGCAUGCUCGAGUUGGAGAGAAGUAUGCGGAAUUCGUGGUGUAGCGGUGAAAUGCAUAGAUAUCACGAAGAACCCCGAUUGCGAAGGCAGCAUACCGGCGCCACACUGACGCUGAGGCACGAAAGCGUGGGUAUCGAACAGGAUUAGAUACCCCGGUAGG
rnacentral:rRNA from 1 species